rnacentral:rRNA from 1 species
GACGAACCACACAAACGUUAUUCGGAAUUACUGGGCUUAAAGGGUGCGUAGGCUGCGCAGAAAGUUGGGUGUGAAAUCCCUCGGCUCAACCGAGGAACUGCGCCCAAAACUACUGUGCUCGAGGAAGAUAGAGGUGAGCGGAACUUACGGUGGAGCGGUGAAAUGCGUUGAUAUCGUAAGGAACACCUGUGGCGAAAGCGGCUCACUGGGUCUUUUCUGACGCUGAUGCACGAAAGCUAGGGGAGCAAACGGG